UUCGCGCAGAAGAUACAGUCGCGUAACGCGUUUUACUGAAAUAUACCAGCAUAUGAGCAUAUAAAUCGUUUGGUCAGUUUGUGAUGAUAGUGUGUUUGUGAUAAGGAUUUUAUCAAAAUGUGCAAAUUAAUGAUGAAUCGGUAAUUAGAAGAAACGCUUACUAACUUUUUAGUUAUUGAAAAUAUAACAGUAACAUAUUGCACUGCUUACUAUAUACAGAAUAUUCUACGAGAAAACAAUGUUUCUUUUAUAAAUCUAAUUGUAUUGUUAAUCUUACUAGAGUUUAUUAUUAUUUCUGCUUCUUAAUAGAUGUGGUAUAAUAUUCUUUAAUAUUCAUGUGAAUUUAUGCUAUUUUUAAUCUCUAUAGAUUUAUCAUGAUCCGAAUAAAUAAUUCUACGAAAAGAAUUUAUAUUUAUAUUGAAACAAAUGAAAUUAAAUCUUCGUUGCAUUAAUCCCGAGUUAUUAUAAAAGUCAUAAAAGAAUGUAUAAAAAUAUACCAAGUAUGCGAAGACAUCAAUCAUAAGAGUUACUAUUUAUCUUAAUUAUUUAUAGAAGCGUUAAUUGUUCGAGUUCCAUUAUUUUGACGUCUUUAUUUCCUUUAUUAUUGCAUAAGAAUGCAGAAGUAUAAACCACUUUACUUGCUAGAGAGCCGGUCAUGAUAUAAGAGUUACAAAACCUUAAAAAUGACUUUCAUCGCAAUUUUUAAUCAGUAGGAAAAUAUAACCUUAGAGAUGAUGUAAAGCUGCAUCUAACAAUAAAUAAGUUACUGACGUAGUGCAAUUAUCGUAUGCUACGCUAUUUCAACUGAGGCUACAUUUAUUCGACCUUGAAUGCACAGUCGUAGAGAAAAUUACAACAUUCUUCAAUUUUAAUGUAAAAAGUGACGAUGAUUAAUCAAUUAAAGGUAUUAAAAUCUUAUGCAAUUAUACACAUUGACCAACAUGACUGUCCAUUAAACAAAAUACAUUAAAGAAACGUUCAAUAAUGAAUUGGACAACGUCUGCGCAUUUGCAUUUGAACAGAUUAUCACGCGGAAAAUUAAAGUUAACAGGUGGAUGGGAAAUUCACCAUAGUAGAUAUUUAUUCAGGUUCUUGUAACACGCAAUGGAAUAUUUAAAGAUUACGUAAAAUCAAAGUUGUUUUAUUGUAUAGAUUGCAACGAGAUCAAGAAGAAUGGAUCGUGAUUUCCGGUAGUGUCGUUAUCUUCGCUUGAUAAACUUCGCAAUUUGUAUUUUACGUAUUCAGACUUUUAAUUGUGGACUUGAAUUUAUUUUAAUUUGUUCAAACAAACAUACGAUAGUUUCAAAAUUUUAUAUACCAACUAUUUCAUGUAUUUUCAUUCUUUAUAUCGAAAACGAACAAUCAUGUUUAAAGUAUAUGUACAAAUAUAUUCUUAUUCGCUGACUACCGUUCAAUUUAAAUGCUUUAUAUACCUAUUACCAUAUUAAUUUCCUUAGAUAUGCAAUUUACAGUCACACCUAUUAUUCCGAUACACGUUCCCUCGCUCCUCUCAUAUUUCCUGAAAUCGAUGACACAGGCAUAAAUCAUCGAUACUGAUAAUAAUUAAUUGACAAUGCUACUAAAAAACAUUUGAAAACAUUACAAUAGAUUUAUCUAACGAGAUGUAAUUAAUCCUUAUUGAAAUAUGUACGUACUUUAAAAAAUAUCUGUUAAUCUAUUCACUAAACUAGAUGGAUAAGAAUUCCAUAUUCAUUACAAAAAAUAAAAAAUAUAAAAUUAAACCAAAAGAAAACGAAAGAAAAAGAAAAAUUAACAAUUUUGUUAAAGUAUAAUUCUGACAACAUUAAAGU